UACGAGGGGGGCAAGCGUUGUUCGGAAUUAUCGGGCGUAAAGGGUGCGUAGGCGGUUUGGUAAGUCUUAUGUGAAAUCUACAGGCUCAACUUGUAGUCUGCAUGAGAAACUGCCGGGCUUGAGUAUGGGAGAGGUGAGUGGAAUUCCUGGUGUAGCGGUGAAAUGCGUAGAUAUCAGGAGGAACACCAGUGGCGAAGGCGAGUCUCUGGACAUUUCCUGACGCUGAGGCACGAAAGCCAGGGGAGCAAACGGG
rnacentral:rRNA from 1 species